rnacentral:rRNA from 1 species
UUAAUGAAAAAUAUCAUCAAGAUUUUAUUUGAUUUUUUUAUGAAUUUUAGAAGUAUUGGCGGUAUUUGGUUAAAUUCUGAGGAACUUGUCUAUUUAAUUUGAUAUUACCCAUUAAAUUUUAUCUAUAAUUUUUUUUUAUGUAUUGCUGUUUAAUUUAUUAUUUAUUAUUUAAAUGAAUGAAAUAUGAUUAUAAAAUAAAGAAUUCAAGUCAAAAUGUAGAUUUUUAUAGGUUUAGAUGAGUUACUUUUAUAUUGUAAUAUGAAACUGUAAAGUUAUAUUGAAAUAAUUGAUGAAAUGAAGGUUGGAUUAGGGAGUAAAAAAAGAAUAAUUAGUUUUUUUGAUAAUUUAUACUAAUAUGU